rnacentral:rRNA from 1 species
GACGAACGCUGGCGGCGUGCCUAACACAUGCAAGUCGAACGGAGUUACUUUAGCUUGCUUUAGUAACUUAGUGGCGAACGGGUGAGUAACGCGUGAGAAACCUGCCUCUCAGUGGGGGACAACAGUUGGAAACGACUGCUAAUACCGCAUAAUGUAUCCGGAGGGCAUCCUCUGGAUACCAAAGCUUAAUGUGCUGAGAGAUGGUCUCGCGUCUGAUUAGCUAGAUGGCGGGGUAACGGCCCACCAUGGCGACGAUCAGUAGCCGGUCUGAGAGGAUGAACGGCCACAUUGGGACUGAGAUACGGCCCAGACUCCUACGGGAGGCAGCAGUGGGGAAUAUUGGGCAAUGGGGGAAACCCUGACCCAGCAACGCCGCGUGAAGG